GGCUCUUUGCUUCUUCCACAUAAAGAGUCGAGCCUGCCCAGUGAAAAUUUUAACGGCCGCGGUACUCUGACCGUGCAAAGGUAGCAUAAUCAUUUGCCUUAUAAUUGAAGGCUAGUAUGAAUGGUUUGACGAAAGCAGACCUGUCUCCCCUUUACUACCCAGAAUUUAACCUUUAGGUGAAGAGGCCUAAAUAUUAUUGAAGGACAAGAAGACCCUGUCGAGCUUAAAAGAAUAAGUAGAAGUUAAUAUGCUUUUAAAUAAAUAGUCUACUGAGCUUUUUAGUUGGGGCGACUAAGGAACAAAAAAAGCUUCUUAACAAAAAAAAACUAACAAGUUUAGAUCCAACCACUUUGAUCGAAGAAAUUAGUUACCGCAGGGAUAACAGCAUAAUCUCUCUUGAGAGACCUAAUCGAAAGGGGGGGUUGUGACCUCGAUGUUGGACUAGAAUAUCCUGAAGAUGCAGAAGUCUUUAAGGGUUGGUCUGUUCGACCAUAAAAAUUCU
rnacentral:rRNA from 1 species